rnacentral:sRNA from 1 species
ACCCGCUGAACUUAAGCAUAUCAAUAAGCGGAGGAAAAGAAACCAACAGGGAUUGCCCCAGUAACGGCGAGUGAAGCGGCAACAGCUCAAAUUUGAAAUCUGGUCCCCUUGCGGGGCCCGAGUUGUAAUUUGAAGAGGAUGCUUCUGGCAAGGUGCCUUCCGAGUUCCCUGGAACGGGACGCCGCAGAGGGUGAGAGCCCCGUACGGUAGGACGCCGAGCCUCUGUGAAGCUCCUUCGACGAGUCGAGUAGUUUGGGAAUGCUGCUCAAAAUGGGAGGUAAACCCCUUCUAAAGCUAAAUACCGGCCAGAGACCGAUAGCGCACAAGUAGAGUGAUCGAAAGAUGAAAAGCACUUUGAAAAGAGAGUUAAAAAGCACGUGAAAUUGUUGAAAGGGAAGCGCUUGCGACCAGACUCGCGCCCGUCGGAUCAGCCGUCGCUUGUCGGCGGCGCACUCCGGCGGGCUCGGGCCAGCAUCAGUUCGCCUCGGGGGGAGAAAGGCGGCAGGAAUGUGGCUCCUCGGAGUGUUAUAGCCUGCCGUGUAAUACCCCCGGGCGGACUGAGGACCGCGCGUAUGCAAGGAUGCUGGCGUAAUGGUCGUCAGCGACCCGUCUUGAAACACGGACCAAGGAGUCGUCCUAAUAUGCGAGUGUACGGGUGUCAAACCCCUGCGCGUAAUGAAAGUGAACGGAGGUGAGAGCUUCGGCGCAUCAUCGACCGAUCCUGAUGUUCUCGGAUGGAUUUGAGUAAGAGCAUAUUGGGCCGGACCCGAAAGAAGGUGAACUAUGCCUGUGUAGGGUAAAGCCAGAGGAAACUCUGGUGGAGGCUCGCAGCGGUUCUGACGUGCAAAUCGAUCGUCAAACAUGGGCAUGGGGGCGAAAGACUAAUCGAACCUUCUAGUAGCUGGUUUCUGCCGAAGUUUCCCUCAGGAA